rnacentral:rRNA from 1 species
AUUGAACGUCAGCGGGAUGCCUCACACAUUCAAGUCGAACGGAGUGGCGAAAGGGUGAGUAAUGUAUCGGAACGUGCCCAGUAGCGGGGGAUAACUACGCUAAUGUGUAGCUAAUAUCGCAUCCCACUGGAGCCGCCGAUAUCGGUUUGUCUCGUUGUUGGGGUAACGGCUCACCAAGGCGACGAUCCGUAGCUGGUUUGAGAGGACGACCAGCAACACUGGGACAUGAACAGGAACCUGACGCCUACAGAAGGCAGCGGUGGUGAAGUUUGAACAAUGGGAGAGACCCUGAGCCGACCGUACCGCGUGGGCGAUGAAGGCCUACGGGUUAUAGAGCACUAUUGGCAGAAGAGCGGUACCUGCAGAAUAAGCACCCGAUAACUUCGUGCCAGCAGCCGCGGUAAUAC